rnacentral:rRNA from 1 species
GACGAACGCUGGCGGCGUGCUUAACACAUGCAAGUCGAACGGAAAGGCCCUGCUUUUGUGGGGUGCUCGAGUGGCGAACGGGUGAGUAACACGUGAGUAACCUGCCCUUGACUUUGGGAUAACUUCAGGAAACUGGGGCUAAUACCGGAUAGGAGCUCCUGCUGCAUGGGGGGGGUUGGAAAGUUUCGGCGGUUGGGGAUGGACUCGCGGCUUAUCAGCUUGUUGGUGGGGUAGUGGCUUACCAAGGCUUUGACGGGUAGCCGGCCUGAGAGGGUGACCGGCUACAUUGGGACUGAGAUACGGCCGAGACUCCUACGGGAGGCAGCAGUGGGGAAUAUUGCACAAUGGGCGGAAGCCUGAUGCAGCAACGCCGCGUGCGGGAUGACGGCCUUCGGGUGGUAAACCGCUUUCGCCUGUGACGAAGCGUGAGUGACGGUAAUGGGUAAAGAAGCACCGGCUAACUACGUG